rnacentral:lncRNA from 1 species
CUUGGCCUUGCUCUGGGAAUUAAGGAAGUGACCCAAACGCAGAGGUUUCCGACUGGACGUGAAAGGCGAGCAUCCGUGUGCAAAUCGGCUCUGUGCGCUCUGGGGAGGAGCGUGGCUGUUCCUCGGGAGGAGUGUGUCUUCUGUCCAGGAAUUCAAGGGCCUCGCUAAAGGCGAGUUGUCUUCUCCUCUCUCUUCUCCUGGGCUUGGGGGCUGAGCAGCCUGCACACGGAUCCCUGAAGUCUUGAGCUGCAGGCCCUGAGACGGCAGCACCUGACCCCUAGGUUGAGGGGUAAAUCCAACAGCGCCUGCCUUGGAGCUCUGGAUAAGCUGUCAUCACUGGUUUGCAUUGGAAAUGAGGCCCUGGGAGGGAAGGGAGGCCUGGCCUCUGGAGAGGGGACGAGUCCACUGUGGGAGGUGGCUGGACUGGGACACUGCCUGCUGGUGACCAGAGUGUGGCUGCAGUGUGGCGGAAGGACCAGCGCAUCGGGCAGCAGGCUCUGGUCUCCCUCCAGGGGCUGGGGUUCUGCCUGUUACCUGGGAGCCCUGGCUAAGGUUGCCUGGGACACUCAGCCCAGUGUUCGCUGUGCUCUAGGGAAUAAAGGGGCCUUCACGGUGCCAUGGUCACCCUGGGAGAGCUGCAGCAGUGGGAGGAGCUCACCGAGUCUGUGACACAGAGUGACAGCGGAGAAGCCCAGGGCAGGAGGUGGCAGGAGUCAGCGAGGCCUAGAGCUCUCCACGCACAGGCCCAGAGAUCGAGGGCGGCCCCGGACACGAGCCGUGGACUUGCUGCAAGGACCCAGGCGGUCCAGGAGGCCGCACCCCGAUGGGGGCCAGGAUGGAACUCACCGUCCUCGUCUUCAGAACUGAUUUCUGCUGCGUGGAUGGCCCUGCCAGCUGCUGACUCCCUCUGCUCAUCCACGAGGCCUCACCCCAACACCGAUCACCCGGUCCCUCCAGUCCCUCCGUUUACCCAGCUAACUCGGGAGGCGAGAAAUCCAACGAGUCAUUUCCUCUCUGAGUCAGUCAUCUCAUGCAAGAUGCAGGGAGCAGCUGAAAACCUUUCUCAAAGUGGGGAAUUGAUGAGAGCCUUCCGUUCUGAGCCGAGCAGGGCUGCUUCGCCCGUGGGCGUCCGCGGGGUGGCCCCCCUUUGCGAAAGUCAGGAGUCUGGCACUGGGUCUGCUGAGUGGAUGGGGAAAUUCUGA